rnacentral:rRNA from 1 species
AGUGGCAAACGGCUGAGUAACGCGUAUGAACCUACCCCAAACUCGAGUAUAGCCCCGCAGAAAGCGUGGGGUAAAUCCUCGAUAGCCCUGUGAAGUAUUUUACUUCACGGGUAAAGCUUUUGCGGUUUGGGAUGGGCCUGCGUCCUAUCAGGUAGUUGGUGAGGUAAAUGCUCACCAAGCCUAUGACGGGUAGCUGGUCUGAGAGGAUGGUCAGCCAGACUGGGACUGCGACACGGCCCAGACUCCUACGGGAGGCAGCAACUAGGAAUUGUGCGCAAUGGACGAAAGUCUGACGCCGCGACAUCGCGUGGAGGAUGAAGGUCUUCGGAUUGUAAACUCCUUUUCUUACCGAACAAGUUCUGAGUGUAGGUAAGGAAUAAGUGCCUGCUAACCACGUGCCAGAAGCAUCGGUAAUACGUGGGGCACGAGCGUUAUCCGGAUUUACUGGGCGUAAAGAGAAGCGUAGGCGGCUCGAUAAGUUUGGUGUUAAAUCUUCCGGCUCAACCGGAAACAAGCACCGAAAACUAUCGAGAUUGAGUCGAGUAGGGAAGAGGGGAAUUCCUGGUGGAGCGGUUAAAUGCGUAGAUAUCAGGAGGAAUACCAAUGGCGAAGGCACCUCUUUGGACUCGUACUGACGCUGAGGCUCGAAAGCGUGGGUAGCAAAACGGAUUAGAUACCCGUGUAGUCCACGCCGUAAACGAUCCCUGUUAGAUGUAUG